rnacentral:sRNA from 1 species
GCUGGGUGUGGUGGCGCAUCCCUGUAAUCCCAGUGGCUUGGGAGGCUAAGGCAGGAGGAUCAUGAGUUCAAAGCCAGCUUCAGCAAUGGCAAGGUGCUAAGCAACUUAGUGAGACUUGUCUCUA